CCAGCCUCUUCUAGUUGCAUUUCCCAGGUGACCCCACAGCACCUGUCACCUCAGAAGUUGAGGACCAGAGAGUCCAGCCCCAUUCUGUGCCAGUGUGACCCAAUCUGCCCUGCCCAGCCCAGCACAGAGAGACUGAGCUAUGAAACCGUGACAAGUGCAUGGAGCAGCUAUUUGAGCACCAGGAAAGGAAACGAUACGCAGCAGUUUGGGAUGACCCCAGCAGAUGAAAUACAACAGAGUCAGUGUGAGACUCCUGGAUUUCCUCGGUGUCCCCUGGCUGGGAUCCAGACAGGCCAAACCUGAAGGGGCACAAAUCUGAAAACGGAAAGAAGUCCAGGAAAGUCUUCUUCUUCAGAAUUGAAAAUAGAAAAAAAGUUUAUUUGGCUCAAAGUGAGGGCUCAGUCCCCUGUACAAGCAGAUGGUCCACACUCCUGUUCUCAUUUCUCUUGCACCAGUGCCUCUCC
rnacentral:lncRNA from 10 species